AGGACUCCCUUCCUCCUUGUUCAGGGAAGUGGGGGAAGAUCAAGGCCACACUGGGCACCAGGAGCUGGAAGAACAAGAGGGUCUCUGGCCCAGAGUCUGGGAUGGGGAGAGGCAGAGGGGGCAUUGGAAAUUGGGGACGCAUCUUUGAACUGAGAUACCAGCUGUUGCCAAGACCAGCCCCUGGGCCAGGCUAAGGAAGGGCAGGGCUAAAGGAUCGCCUGCGGGCCUCGCGGGCCGAUGCCUCGGGUCCCCCUCCGGCCUCGGUUUCUCCGCGCAGCGGGGCGGGGCGGGGGCAGCGCGGGUCUCAAAGCUGCCUGCAGGGGGCGCCCGUGAGCGGCGCGGCCGGAGCCGGAGACCGAGCGGCCGCCGAGACAGCGGGAGCCGGCGUGCGAGCCGCAGGUUGCCAGUCCUGCUUCAUCCCUCAUGUCCUGGAAGAGAGAGAGACGAGGUGGCUGCCCGAGUCCACGUGAAAGGCAGCCUCUGACCUCUUGUCCCCAGGUGCCUCAGGAACCCUGAAGCUAGGCUGAGCCAUGAUGCUGCUGCCAGAACCCCUGGAGAGGGCCUGGUUUCAGGAGA
rnacentral:sRNA from 1 species